GAAAUUUCAAACAUACAAAUCAAGAAAGCUUCUGACUAUAAAGAUGAUCAUAUAAAAAAUGGAUUGGAGCAUGUACUUACAGUCAUGAUAGAUAAAGAUUACUAUGGAACGCAAUAUUUAAAUCAAAUGUUCAUUGUACCGGAACAUGCAGAUACUAAAACCUAUGACUCUCUAGAAC